UUCUUACCUCUACGCCGUCAUAUUGGUCAAAGAGCAUGCAACAUUCUGCAAGAUCAAGCUGGGUCAGCCGGUUAGAAAUGGUAUCCCAGAACUACCAACAGAUGCUGCUGCUGAUGUUGGCUUGUUAUACCCCAGACACAAGGUGUACUGAUCCUAACCAGACGGCUACUGUAUUGAGGAAUUAGUGACCCGCACACCAGGCGCAGGCUGGCGCUGUGCUUGGGUACAGCUUGGCUGCACAGUAAGCUAAGCCAGCUAGCUGUAACACAGGAGCCAGCAGGCAGCUCCCACUCUGUAUCAGCGAUUACAUCGCCUGUGUGCCUUAUCUAAAAGUGCAGCAAACAGUUCUCAAGUGAACCAGCUUUCUGUUUGACAGUAGAAAUGAGAACUAGAAUUGUUUUAAGAAAAUGCUUUAAGACCUGAAAAGACCAAAACAUCAGAUGACCUUCCCAUGGACAGGAUCUGCCUGGCAUG